GUAACUUUCUUACUCAUCAUUAUUCACAAUUUAUUCAGGAUUAUCCAUAAUCAUGGUAGCAUCCACAUUAAUUCAGAAGUGUUUAGAAACACAUUCUAUUGUUAUUUACAAUAUAAGUGACUCCAAAAUUGCACAAUGGUGUUUACCAUUCAAUGGCCAUAAUAAAUAGGUAUGUUGCCAGAGGGCAACCUUGUUUUAUGCCUCUUGACAAUUCAAAGUUCUCAGAGGAGUAACUGUUAUUUAUUAAUUCACAUAAAGGAUUGUUGUUCAUGACUUUUACCCAUUUUAUGAGAGAGUUCAAAAAUCCAGGGACUGUAUAAAAUGCUUUCUCAAAAUCUGCCAUGAAAAUUAUACCUGGUUUCCCUCAUUCUCAUAGUUUCCCUUUAUUUAUAGUAGUUGUCUUAUGUUGUCUCCAAUAUAUCUUCCUUUUAACAAUCCCGUCUGAUCGUGAUGAACAAUGUCCGGUAGGACCUUUUUAUUUUAUUUUAUCAGAAAUACAUUUUGCCAAUAUUUUUGCAUCACAACAUUGAAGGGUGACCAUGUAUUUGAUAUAUUUCAUACCAUUCUACCAAUUCCGCUCCAGCCAUUACCACGAGCCUGUCCUCCCCAAUUAAGGUGCCAAGCUUCAUGUGGCUUCUGUUUAUUUUAUGCAUAAACUAUAUGUGAUAUAGUGUACAUCAUUGGAUGGUUUGGUUUUCUUUUUUAACAUCUGUAGCAAUUGAAACAACAGAUAUUGUUUAUACUUUCUUUUAAAGUUUGUGAUGGCAGGGUUGUUCGCCUUGGCCUGUGAGAAGUCUCCCAGCAGACAGCUACUGACGGGCUGUGCCUACACUAACGUGGCCAGCCUGGUGGCGGGCCUACUGGCUCUGUGUUUGUACAGCGUCUCCCUACACUCCGUCUAGGGCUCUGCUGCACCCUGCACUCUGCCAAGCAUCGACCUGUACACAUGGGCUGCACAAAAGUGCCCAGGAGAAUACCUAGAGGAGUCUCACAGUCCUACUCAUCGUUUAUGACUUGGGUGCUCUUACCCUCCACUCUCUCCUCUCUUUCUCCGCACUCAAGGGACUCGGAGUGAGACUGUGCUGAAUUAUCAAUUAAUCAAUUAGUCCAACUGAUUAACCAAUGGAUGCUAGUGGAAAAACCUGUUUUAGAAAAAUACUGAUCUGUUAAACAAAAUUUUCUCAGUGACCACAUUACCGUUAACUUGUUUAAGUUCAAGUUUGUUUAUUUCAUGGGUUUGUUUGUUCCUUUCGAGCUUUACAGGCUUACAAUGUUUUGAGAAACCUAAUAAAAUAAUUUGUAUAAACUC